AAUAACCGGAAACAACAAAUUCAUGUUGUAGUUCACAUAAUGUACUGCACCAUUACUAUCUUGGAGAAUCCACAACUCAUGAAGUUCAGUUGCAAACUCUAUAGCAAAAGCACCAUCCACAAAAGCAAUAUCCUUCAAAAAAAUAGUAAUAAAAGUCUAUGAUUAAUGUUGAAAAUAAUUCAAAGAACAGUAAUGUUGUUAACUUAAAACCUAUACAAAACAUACCUCCCCGAAAAUGUUCAUGGAGGUAAAAAUUCCCUUU
rnacentral:lncRNA from 1 species